AUGUACACUGACAAGUUAGAGCUCAAGCUUUAUGGAUUCAACGAUAAACUUCCUGUUCUCCUGGGAAAAAUUUUGGCAAUCGCAAACUCUUUUUUGCCUACUAAUGACCGUUUUAAGGUAAUUAAGGAGAAUAUGGAGAGAACUCUAAGAAACUCCAACAUGAAGCCUUUGAGCCAUUCAUCCUUCUUGAGGCUACAGAUUUUAUGCAAGAGUUUUUAUGACGUUGAUGAAAAGCUUUGUUUUCUAAAUGACAUUUCUGUCUGAUUUAAUGGCCUUUAUUCCUGAGCUUCGUUCCCAGAUGUAUAUUGAGGGCCUUUUCCAUUGCAAUUUAUUAGAAAA